rnacentral:rRNA from 1 species
AUUGAACGCUGGAGGCAGGCCUAACACAUGCAAGUCGAGCGAGCGGCGAACGGGUGAGUAAUGUCUAAGAAACUGCCUGGUAGAGGGGAAUAACUAAUGGAAACGGUAGCUAAUACCGCAUAACAUCAGAUGUGCCCAGAUGGGAUUAGCUAGUAGGUGGGGUAACGGCUCACCUAGGCGACGAUCCCUAGCUGGUCUGAGAGGAUGACCAGCCACACUGGAACUGAGACACGGUCCAGACUCCUACGGGAGGCAGCAGUGGGGAAUAUUGCACAAUGGGCGCAAGCCUGAUGCAGCCAUGCCGCGUGUGUGAAGAAGGCCUUCGGGUUGUAAAGCACUUGCAGCGGGGAGGCGUUACCCGCAGAAGAAGCACCGGCUAACUCCGUGCCAGCAGCCGCGGUAAUAC